AUAUUUUCUCAUCAAGCAUGUCUUUUCUGAGCAUGCCUCCAGCCCUGGGCAUGUGUGUGGCCUUCCAGAUUCCCUGGUAUAGGCAGGAGAUUUUCA